rnacentral:rRNA from 1 species
GACGAAGGGGGCUAGCGUUGUUCGGAAUUACUGGGCGUAAAGCGCGUGUGGGCGGUUAUCCAAGUCGGGUGUGAAAGCCUUGAGCUCAACUCAAGAAAUGCAUUCGGUACUGGGUGACUAGAGGACCGGAGAGGAUAGUGGAAUUCCCAGUGUAGUGGUGAAAUACGUAGAGAUUGGGAAGAACACCAGUGGCGAAGGCGGCUAUCUGGACGGUUUCUGACGCUAAGACGCGAAAGCGUGGGGAGCAAACAGG